GUCCAGAGGUCCAAAAUUCUACAGUGGAAUUCAUUGCUUCUUCUGACUACAUGAUGUCUCUCCAGUGGACGCUGGAUAUUUGACAAUACUCGGCUAUUCAUUGCUGGAAAACCUAGACAAGGAAGAUGAUAAAUAUCCUUUUCAAAUUACCUAACAGGUGAUUAUGAACAAUCCUAACCUACAGUUUGGAAGAAAACUUGCAUAUAACAUUUUCAUGAGCUGUCUCUAAAGGAAGACAUGUUCUGUUGCAUGAGAUCCUGAAAUGAAACUUACUUAUCUUCAAGCCAAGAACAAUAAUAAUAAAAAACCAAAACAACCCAGCUGAGAGGCAUCUUCCCUUUAAGAGAUUAAAGAUGGAUCUGCCAAGAACUUACUUAACUGUCUGCAAAGAAUAUUUAGCUGUAACUUGUAACAACCUGUUGAUUCUACAAA